GAUGAACGCUGGCGGCGUGCCUAAUACAUGCCAGUCGAGCGAACAGACGAGGAGCUUGCUCCUCUGACGUUAGCGGCGGACGGGUGAGUAACACGUGGAUAACCUACCUAUAAGACUGGGAUAACUUCGGGAAACCGGAGCUAAUACCGGAUAAUAUAUUGAACCGCAUGGUUCAAUAGUGAAAGACGGUUUUGCUGUCACUUAUAGAUGGAUCCGCGCCGCAUUAGCUAGUUGGUAAGGUAACGGCUUACCAAGGCAACGAUGCGUAGCCUACCUGAGAGGGUGAUCGGCCACACUGGAACUGAGACACGGUCCAGACUCCUACGGGAGGCAGCAGUAGGGAAUCUUCCGCAAUGGGCGAAAGCCUGACGGAGCAACGCCGCGUGAGUGAUGAAGGUCUUCGGAUCGUAAAACUCUGUUAUUAGGGAAGAACAAAUGUGUAAGUAACUAUGCACGUCUUGACGGUACCUAAUCAGAAAGCCACGGCUAACUACGUG
rnacentral:rRNA from 1 species